rnacentral:lncRNA from 1 species
CAAGCAUACGUAAGUAUAUAUGGUACAAAAAGAAUAACGAAUACGACUCGAUGAAACCGCCGCUCAAAUCUCCAAGAGAAAGCUACGCAUAUGCAGUAUGUAUAAGCAUGGCACACAUGCUUCUACUGCAUAAUCUUCGCCACGAGCAGGGAUACCAGCGCGGACGACACCACGGCCACGGCGGACGCCGCCGGAGCGGAGGCCGCCCCGGCGAUCGGAGAGGGCGCGGGCGCGGACGACGGCGCCGUGGUGAACUCCUGCGCCGACGCGGAGGCGACGAGCACGGCCGCGGCGAGGAGCAGCACGGAGGCGAAGCGUGAAGCCAUCUCGGGACGAUCGACUUGCUGGAAGGCUUUGAACUUGCUUGCUAGCUCUCGAAGACUCUGCUGCGGCGGUGGCGGUGGCGGUGGCGGUGUGCGUGUACUCUGCUGCGGAUUGCGAUGCUGCGAUGGGGGGAGGAGGUUUAUAUAGGCCGCCCAAGCGGAGGGCUGCGCCGUGGGAUCGGCGGGUCGCAGUCGUGGGUUUAAUUUCUCUCCGUGUCCGCGCGCGUCUGCGUUCCUUCCGCGGGGGGCACGGCACGGCAC